CCUACGGGGUGCAGCAGUGAGGAAUAUUGGUCAAUGGGCGGAAGCCUGAACCAGCCAAGUAGCGUGCAGGAUGACGGCCCUACGGGUUGUAAACUGCUUUUAUACGGGAAUAACGCGCCUUACGUGUAGGGCUUUGCAUGUACCGUAUGAAUAAGGACCGGCUAAUUCCGUGCCAGCAGCCGCGGUAAUACGGAAGGUCCGGGCGUUAUCCGGAUUUAUUGGGUUUAAAGGGAGCGUAGGCCGCAUGUCAAGCGUGCUGUGAAAUGUCCGGGCUCAACCCGGGCCUUGCAGCGGGCACUGGGGUGCUUGAGUCCGCGGAAAGAAGGCGGAAUGCGGCGUGUAGCGGUG
rnacentral:rRNA from 1 species